rnacentral:rRNA from 1 species
GAUGAACGCUAGCGGCAGGCUUAAUACAUGCAAGUCGAGGGACAGCACGGGUAGCAAUACUGGGUGGUAACCGGCAAACGGGUGCGGAACACGUACACAACCUUCCUUUAAGUGGGGGAUAGCCCAGAGAAAUUUGGAUUAAUACCCCGUAAUAUAGUUGGAUGGCAUCAUUUGAUUAUUAUAGCUACGGCUGUUAAUGAUGGGUUAGCGGAUGAUUAGAUAGUUGGCGGGGUAACGGCCCACCAAGUCUACGAUCAGUAGCUGAUGUGAGAGCAUGAUCAGCCACACGGGCACUGAGACACGGGCCCGACUCCUACGGGAGGCAGCAGUAAGGAAUAUUGGUCAAUGGACGCAAGUCUGAACCAGCCAUGCCGCGUGAAGGAUUAAGGUCCUCUGGAUUGUAAACUUCUUUUAUUUGGGACGAAAAAGGGCCUUUCUAGGUCAACUGACGGUACCAGAUGAAUAAGCACCGGCUAACUCCGUGCCAGCCGCCGCCGUAAUAC